rnacentral:miRNA from 1 species
AAUACAGGAGGUCCAGCUCAAUUUGAAUUUCAGAUUCACAACAAAGAACUUUUUAAUAUAAGUAUGUCCCAAGCAACAUUUGGGACAUACUUAUACUAAAAAAUUAUUUGUUAUUUAUCUGAAAUUCAAAUUUAGCUGGGUGACAUAUAUUUU